rnacentral:rRNA from 1 species
GACGAACGCUGGCGGCGUGCUUAACACAUGCAAGUCGAACGGAAAGGUCUCUUUGGAGAUGCUCGAGUGGCGAACGGGUGAGUAACACGUGGGUGAUCUGCCCUGCACUUUGGGAUAAGCCUGGGAAACUUGGUCUAAUACCGGAUAGGACCGCAUGCUGCAUGGUGUGUGGUGGAAAGCUUUUGCGGUGUGGGAUGGGCCCGCGGCCUGUCAGCUUGGUGGUGGGGUGAUGGCCUACCAAGGCUUCGACGGGUAGCCGGCCUGAGAGGGUGUCCGGCCACACUGGGACUGAGAUACGGCCCAGAAUCGUACGGGAGGCAGCAGUGGGGAAUAUUGCACAAUGGGCGCAAGCCUGAUGCAGCGACGCCGCGUGGGGGAUGACGGCCUUCGGGUUGUAAACCUCUUUCAGUAUCGACGAAGCCCCUUGGGGUGACGGUAGGUACAGAAGAAGCACCGGCCAACUACGUGCCAGCCGCCGCAGUAA